rnacentral:rRNA from 1 species
AAAUGAAUUGACGGGGACCCGCACAAGCGGUGGAGCAUGUGGUUUAAUUCGAAGCAACGCGAAGAACCUUACCAGGUCUUGACAUCCUUUGACCACUCCAGAGAUGGAGCUUUCCCUUCGGGGACAAAGUGACAGGUGGUGCAUGGUUGUCGUCAGCUCGUGUCGUGAGAUGUUGGGUUAAGUCCCGCAACGAGCGCAACCCUUAUUGUUAGUUGCCAGCAUUUAGUUGGGCACUCUAGCAAGACUGCCGGUGACAAACCGGAGGAAGGCGGGGAUGACGUCAAAUCAUCAUGCCCCUUAUGACCUGGGCUACACACGUGCUACAAUGGCAAGUACAACGAGUCGCCAACCCGCGAGGGUGCGCAAAUCUCUUAAAGCUUGUCUCAGUUCGGACUGUAGGCUGCAACUCGCCUACACGAAGUCGGAAUCGCUAGUAAUCGCGGAUCAGCACGCCGCGGUGAAUACGUUCCCGGGUCUUGUACACACCGCCCGU